GCGGUGUUACGAAAAUUGAUUUCAGAUAGAAAUCAAUUUUGUUAUGUUGUGACGUAAAUCGAGAUAUUGAACAUCCGUGGCAAGACGGCCAGCGCCUUGCAGUCGUAUGCUAUCUAUAUGACCCAUGAGUCUUUUCCGGGGGUUCAGAUGCAGCCAAGAUACUAUAGCCGGCUGACUGAAGAUCUUACCACCGAAAAUGUUGAACGAUGCGUUCUCCGCACCAAUAAAACCCAUAACUGAACAAAACAAAACGCUGUGUCAAGAUAUUCUUCAAGAGUAUACGGCUCGAACAUAUGAUCCUAGACUACACAGGAGCGAUAAGACAAAAAAAAACUAGGGAGCGGUGGAGUUAUAAGUCCACUCACCAGUCAGUGUGAGCCACAUCAUCUGCUAUGACUACCCUAAAAGGAUCUCUGUCGAGGGCUAAACCCAAUACGAAGCAGAGCUAUUCUUGGACAGACAUUCAUCCUUCCGGGAAAAUGUGCUCUCCGUGCUGUGAUUAUUAUUCAUAUUUGGCUAUCGCUACAAAAAUCACUUGUGAAGAGGGAUCUAUUCCCUCUUACGGUACCUGUAGGCAGGGUCAAUGCGUGGUUCAGCUUUUCUUAGACUUUUACAAGUGGUAGUCUCGUUAGGGUCUUUGUUAGAAAUAAGAUAUUUCAAUAAAAGGUUAUGUAUUUUAACCUAGUAGAUUUUCCGCCCAUAUUGCGGUAGAAUUUGAUUUCUGUUUCAGAGCAUGUCUCCCUUGAUGUUUAGUUAUCAGCGGAACUUACAGAUAUCACAAUCUUUUCCCAUUAUAGCUUUCAUCCUACUUUACCUGAAUAGAAGUUGCAACAUUAGCUUUCACAAGCUCAUCAGUUCAGUAAUAUGCUAAAAGUUUUCGUAAUUGGCCUAUAUUGUGACGUAAUAUUGAAUAAUUUAAUCUUCUGUAGCAGGCAGAAGCGUUCCGUUCCUUUGUUACGAAAUACGACGGCUCAGUUGUUGAUGAAAAAAACAUUAAAUACAUAGUUUUUAUUUAGGUGUCGUAAAAUUCAAACGGCAUUAGCUGGCGUCACUGUUCUAUGCUUCAGCCAUAGAAGAUUGCGAAUUUUUACCAGAUUUACCAGAAUUAAAACCAGAUGAAAUGCUCCACAACAAAUUCCCCUUAACUGGGAUUUUCUCCUGCGUUAUUUCUAACAGAGACACCAACACUUGAAAUUCAGAGCGCGAAAUAUGCGCAGCAAAAAUACUUAGACCCAACCCGGACCUUGAGACCGUCGUCUCAUAGUAGCCGGGGUCUCUACCACAAGAUCAACCAGGAAAUCACAUAGAACCGUACGUGAGUGCUUGAAGUAUUUUCAAACUAGGUUUUUUGUUAUCACAAAAUCGAAAAUCGUUAUCUAUCGAAACAGGUGCGAUAUUUCAAGAAAAAUAUUUCAUCAAAAGCUGUGCCAAAAUUCUGCGAGACUUAUUGGUGACAAGAUGCUUAAGCUCGCUCGGACGUGCUUUUGUGAUAUCCGUGGGUCGAACACAGUGCUACCUCAUAUUUCAAAGUGAGCGGCUGUCUUGACGUUGGAGUAUCUACUACACCAGACAGAUACAUAUAUUUAGGGUAUGGUAUAAACGGUGGAAUGAGGUACCGUUUAAAUAGCAAUUGGGCUACCUCAUACCACCGUUUGUCACACCUUUAUACUUGAUACUCCAGUUUUAUGUACUUCUACGUAACAAAGGCUGUUCCUUCAUAUCGGAAACCAUGAAGAUACCAUCGCAUUUUACCAGUACCAGAAGCAGUACUUGUCCAGCUCUUAAUCAUAUAGGUAUGCCUUAUGUUAAUAGGCCCUACAUGCUGUUGCGGAUCGCUAAGUACUCGGCCGAGUGUACCAUGGACUUUUUACCAAUCUUGAUUAUUAAAAAAAUUCUGCUAACUCUACUUGCCUCUUUACGUGCCAAAAAAGAUCUUUGAAGACGCACAGUGGAUGAAUGCAACUGUUCCAGAUAAUAUAGAAGGAUACUGCUUUGGUGGCGGGUGGUGUGAUGAUACAAAGGAGAUGGAGGGAUCAUCUCGAGAUAUUCUUCAGAGCACUUCUUAUAUUUAAAAUGGUGCUCAGGAGUGCUCACGCUUAGGCCAUAAGUUCGCCUGCCAGCGUUAGCUCAUCAAAUAUCGAAGAUCUGUGUUCCAGGAUAGUGGUGAUCCCCUGGUACUGGGCAUUUAUGCACUCUCUCUCUCAUAGUCCCUGAUAGUGGAAUGAUGUCGUUUAUAAAGUGAGCAUACAGGGGAUUGUUCACGUAUGCUAAUUUAUUCGAUAUUCACCGUAAGCGCAUUUGUUUUAUUAUUAUUUUUUAAGUAUCUGGUGAUAAGUGGUUACCGCAACGCAUAAAAGUAGCUCACGUUAGUGUCCGGCUCGUGAACUAUAAUUUCGAAACUUCACUUUGAGGAAUCGAUUAAUUUCUCGUUGCGGGAUGACUCAGUCCUUGACAGAACAAACAAACAAACGUAUAUUUUAGCAACAGUAAGAUCGUUUUGGACGUAAAAUAAAUUUGUUUCACCGAUGU